UCAGUGUCAUCAACAGAAAGAGAAAAAGGCUGGAAGAGACGAUAAUGCAGAUAAUUAAAAUGACGUCAAUAGUUUUAAUUUAUCGUGCAAUUAAUUGACAGGACUAUUUAGAACACUUUACAAACAAACAAGGCAACAAUAUUAAACACAAAAUAUCAGAAUUCAUAGGUUCAAAAUACUAUUAACAACAAAUAAAAUAGUGUGACAGUACAAUAAAUAAAUACAUAAAAUUAUUUUUAAAACAACAGAGGUUUGCAGCAAGUCAAAGUUGUUAAUCAAAGAAAACAGUUUUAGUGCUGACUUACUUUGGACCAACUUUACAGACUAUCUAAUCUUGGAGGUCACCUGUCCAGCCAUUCAUUCAAAGUCAUGUUCCAGUCAAUGACCAUGUUCCAGAAUAACAUGGUCAUUGAGGUACCAAGUUUUAAAUUCCAGUAAAUCUUCAGUUAAUUCUUCCAGCAAGGUUUGGUUUAAACUGUCAUUAUUAGAGCCAUAAAUAUUAAUUACUACGAGGACUAUAUGAUCAACUUUGGUCACCACUGUUAGCCAGUGUGAACUUGAAGAGUGAGUCCCUUGAAAGGACUUCUGUCCUUUCGGAAAAAAGAAUAAUGCUUUUCUUUUAACAAUGUCUUUUAAACCUCUAACAAUGAGUGAACCAAAUGAAAUUUUCUUAUUCAACAUGAUAAACAAAAAAGGUUCUUGAAUAGAAAAGAUAAAGAAAAUUCAAUUAAACUGAACGAAAUGAUAUUCAGUAAGCUAGCUGUAGAAAAACUUAAGUUGAAGAGGUGAAGCAGUAAAUCCCUUGACAAAGUCUACAUUUCCAUCUUAUUCAGCAUGUGUACCUUCCAGUCGGAUCUGGUGUCCAUCAAUAUAUUCAAAGGGGCCACAGAAGUAGGCCACCAUUCCUGGUUUGAUCAAUGUGCAGCCACAAUUUCUCUCUUCCCAGUCUUCUUUGGAUAGCAUUUCAGCAAACCAGAUGCCCAGGUCAUUUGCAAUAAGUGGAUUGUUUGGUCUUCUUCCAGAUUUCUUUUUUAAACAAUGUUUGUGUAAAUAGCACAAUGAUGUUUCUGUGUUUGUUCUCCAUCUUUUGUCCUAGUCGGUGAACAACAUCCACAUCCUCCUCCAGCCUUGACGCAGAUUCAGAAACGAUGUGCUUUCAGAGUCUGAUGACUAAAGCCUGGCGUCUUUCUCCUCCUUCAAGCCUUUUAUGCGAAGGCUCCCUCUCAUUCUGUAUCUGUCUUGUUCUCUAAGCCUCUUUUUAAGAUCAGCAUUCCCCUCUUGUAGUUUUUCCAUUUUGCUUUUCCAGCUCUUUAACCUUUGCCUUGCAUUCUUUAACUUCAUUAGCAUUGAACUCCACCAUCUUGGCUAGGUUAGCAAGCAAAACACUGCUGUGUGUCACCUGUUGUUCAAUACUGUCCACUUUUUCUCCUAGCGUCAUACUACUGUUCAUUAUAUCUCUGAGAGAUAUUUCCUCCACUUCUUCCUCUUCAACUGACCUGCGUCGCUUUUCUCCAGGUGUCUUGCUUGGCGUUGAGGAUGCAGAGUCGCCUCGUUCUCUUUUAUUUUGAGUGGAAGUGUCCAUGAUGUAGCCGUGGUCUGUCUUAGAAGUUACUUCUUUCUUUUACGGCAAAAAGGUCACUAAGUUGGCAACCAUUUCGCCUGAAAAGUUCGCUGGAAAUAGGCAUCAGAACCCCUCCUGACCCCACCAGGGACAGAAAAUGGAUGGAGUUGGCAACCGACAGGGUUGCACCAGAUCGGCUACUCCACGGGUUGAGCUGGGAGUGUUGAUUUAUGCAACACAGUUUUUGCACUGCCUCCUGCUGUCCUUUUAGCGUUUGGGUUUUCUUUGUUGUUAGUCCACCCAGUUAUGAUUGUUUUCUUUUCGUAGUAUUUGUGAGGGCGGGCUGACAACCUUUCAUUUAUUUUGUUGGUUUUUGUUUAAUUGUUUUGUUUUUUUUGGCACUUCCCUGAAUUGUUAUAUCUUGUUUGGCGUGAUCCCCAUUACCGGGGUUGACAACGACGGAUAAAGUUAGCGGGGAAUCCGUUUUAUCUAUGCAACAAUAAAUAUCAAUAAUUAACUUAAUUCUGGUUGUUGAUUAUUGCGCUUUGGCUAAUUGAGGCUAUAACAAUAAUUUUCCAGAAAGCCUACACUCUCAUCUUUUCAGGAAGUAAUCUUUG